AGAGCGAACGCUGGCGGCAGGCUUAACACAUGCAAGUCGAGCGCCGUAGCAAUACGGAGCGGCAGACGGGUGAGUAACACGUGGGAACGUACCUCUUGGUUCGGAACAACACAGGGAAACUUGUGCUAAUACCGGAUAAGCCCUUACGGGGAAUGAUUUAUCGCCGAGAGAUCGGCCCGCGUCUGAUUAGCUAGUUGGUGAGGUAACGGCUCACCAAGGCGACGAUCAGUAGCUGGUCUGAGAGGAUGAUCAGCCACACUGGGACUGAGACACGGCCCAGACUCCUACGGGAGGCAGCAGUGGGGAAUAUUGGACAAUGGGCGCAAGCCUGAUCCAGCCAUGCCGCGUGAGUGAUGAAGGCCCUAGGGUUGUAAAGCUCUUUUGUGCGGAAGAUGAUGACUGUACCGCAAGAAUAAGCCCCGGCUAACUUCGUGCCAGCAGCCGC
rnacentral:rRNA from 1 species